rnacentral:rRNA from 1 species
CGUGUAGGCGGUCUGAUUAGUCUGAUGUGAAAGCCCUGGGCUCAACCCAGGAAGUGCAUUGGAUACUGUCAGACUUGAAUACGGGAGAGGGUAGUGGAAUUCCUAGUGUAGGAGUGAAAUCCGUAGAUAUUAGGAGGAACACCGGUGGCGAAGGCGGCUACCUGGACCGAUAUUGACGCUGAGACGCGAAAGCGUGGGUAGCAAACAGGAUUAGAUACCCUGGUAGUCCACGCCGUAAACGAUGAGAACUAGGUGUUGCGGGUAUUGACCCCUGCAGUGCCGCAGCUAACGCAUUAAGUUCUCCGCCUGGGAAGUACGGUCGCAAGACUAAA